rnacentral:rRNA from 1 species
UACGAAGGGGGGCUAGCGUUGCUCGGAAUGACUGGGCGUAAAGGGCGCGUAGGCGGUUUGUACAGUCAGAUGUGAAAUUCCUGGGCUCAACCUGGGGGGCUGCAUUUGAUACGUGCGGACUAGAGUGGGGGAAGAGGGUCGUGGAAUUCCCAGUGUAGAGGUGAAAUUCGUAGAUAUUGGGAAGAACACCGGUGGCGAAGGCGGCGACCUGGUCCUUGACUGACGCUGAGGCGCGAAAGCGUGGGGAGCAAACAGG